AUCACUGUAGAUGUGUCUUAAAAAAGAGGAUUUUUUGUUGUUUAAGGUGGGAUUGAUCCACAUCAUUAUUCUUUGUUUGGAGUUUGUCCUGCUGCUGCUGCUUUAUUAAUGUGCUCAAGUAAACCCAUAGGAAAGUUGACAGAAGGCACCAAAGGCCUUAUUUCUUGUAUAUUUUCAGAAGGAAGCAGCAAUAACAUGAUAUAUCGUGUUCUGUAAUUUUGCAAUUUUACGGUAGAGAGUUGCUGGUUUUUGGGCGAACAAGUGUUUGAUGUGACACUCGUUACACCCCUUGUGGUUGUGGGCUUCUUUAUGCCUCUUCUUCUGCUUAUAUGCAACCAUGCAAGGGAUACUGCAAGCCGUGCAGGCCUAUGAGGUAGAAAUAAUUAUUGGCUUCCUUUUAAAUUUGUUGCCAAUGUAUCACUUGCAGCCGAUCUCAUAUAGAUUUGAAGUCG
rnacentral:misc_RNA from 1 species